AUGACAAGAACUGGCACCCACCACGGGGGACAGCAAGGCACCCGUCUCCCUGCUGCUGGUGGACGAUUCCUGCUCGGUGUUGCAGAAGGUGCUGGAAAAGCCCCGUUGUUCUUGCCGAGGGGCAAACACCCUGCUCUAGGACAUCUGCCUCUAGGCAGAAGAGAAGUUGCGCUUGCCCUGGGCUUGGAAGGGGCUCUGCUCCGUGUCCGGAGAGGACAAAUCCCGACUCUUCUCAUGUUAGAACCUGCUUCAGGCCAAGAACAUUGUUUGAGAUUCACGUGGUUGCUUAUGCUGUUGUGCAAACAGCAUGUAAAUGAAUCAAAAUGUCUUAUCCAUAAUGAAAAUAUUUCAUGCUUUUUUAAUCUAUUAGAUAUGGAAAUAUUUUUUGAAACUGAAAAUGCAGCCGGUAGAAUUUAAAUUGAAACGUAAUACAUGUAAAAUAUAUUUUAGUUGAUAAUUUUGUAAAAUGCACUUUUUUUGUGUCUCUUCCCUGGUUUCCCAGAUCUGUAUUUCAGUGUUUACAGAUGGAAUGAGAACAUUCCCUAUACCCUCCUUCUGUGAGAAAGAUAUAUUAGAAGUAAUUCUUAAAAAAUAAAUUUGAAAAAUCGUAUUGAUUUAGAAAACAAAAUCAGUGCAAUGCUGUUCUUCUCCUUCUUGCCUGAGCUUUUCAGGAUGGGUACCUGCGGGGUGCAGGACUUGAAGAGCCUGGAGGGUGCUGAUGGGAGAGCGAGUUUUGGCGCUUGGGUCCUUGGGGCUGUCCCUGGAGGAAGGUGUCCCCAUCCUGGCUGGGACGCAGCCCCAAAAUGAAUGGCUGGUGAGGCUCCUUGUGAAAACUGAGUGAGAGCAUGGAGGAUCGGCCAGGGGGGUGAUUUUUUAUUUUAUUUCUAGUCUGCUCUCAACAGCUGCUGUCAUCGGAAUAGUUAAGUCUGCCUUUCAGAAGGGGAAGAUGUUAGUGGCAAAGGCUGUCUCCACAGGCUUGGGAUGUCAGCCCAUGCUUUAGAAGCGCUUUAGGAGCAUUUUGAGAGGUUGGUUUGAGAAAAGCAUUCCCCACAGAGCGUCACCUCUCCAAGCCAACAGUCCACUUGGCAGCAUUUCUGCCAGCCCAGCAGCGUCCCUGCCCCAGGGCACCAAACGCAUGCUGAGGACAGGUCUGACAAACUGUAUCGCCUCUGUGGACAUCCCCAAAAGGCACGAGGGGGAUCCCAAGCAGGUGUAAGUGCUGAGAGGAAUGAGGUGACCCACCUGAUGUCACACAGUGGGGUCAGCACUUCUGUGAGGAGUGGGAUCUGGCGGAAACCCUCCGUGCAUCCAAACGCAGGUGAGUGCAGGCUGAAGGUGCUGAGCUUGGGUGUUUGCAGCAAGCAGCAGGUCCUGGGAGUAAGGCCAAAACGAUUCUGCCUGGACAGCGAUGGGAAACAGUGCUGCAAGCAAAAUGCUGGCAAAAAGCUGCUGCCAAAGCUGCUCGCCCCAAAACUGUGGCGUUUGGUGUCAGGUUUUGGUGCCCUCUGCAUCCACAGAGCUCCAGGCGCAGAGCAGUGGGGAGGAGCCGUGGUUUAGCUCUUGGCUGGGUGGCUGGCCCUUAGAAUGGGUUAUUUCUAUAAAUAAUACUGUGUUUUAAUUAGAGCUGGACCCUUGCGUGCCUGGGAAGGGGGAGAAUGAGUUCUGGGAACAAAAUGAGCAGGAUGAAAAAGUGACGGCUGGUACCAAUGCUGGAUUAGCUCCUAAUUAUAGAGAGGGGAGUGAGCGGCGAGCGUGGUUUGUGGCAUGAAUGCAGAUGGGCUGGGCAUGGGAACAGCAGCCUUAAAACACAGGGCAGCAGCACAACGGGGUUUUGCACUUGUCUCUUGCCCCAAGGUUGCCUCAAAAGGGAGAUUUUGAGAUUGCCCUGUUGGUGGGAGCAGUGUAUGGAUGUGCGUGGGUGGGGCCACUGCUCCCACCACCUUAAGUAGCCACCUUGCCACCCUGCCAGCCUCAUUAGCCCAUUUUCAUUAAGUUCCUGGUCUGACAUCUUCAUGGGAUUAGGGCUUGGUUUUGUUUUUUGCCAGAGGACCUUUGCUUUUUUUGAUUUCCCUG
rnacentral:lncRNA from 1 species